CACGUAGGGGGCAAGCGUUGUCCGGAUUUAUUGGGCGUAAAGAGCUCGUAGGUGGUUCGGUAAGUCGGGUGUGAAACCUCCAGGCUCAACCUGGAGACGCCACCCGAUACUGCUGUGACUGGAGUCCGGUAGGGGAGCGUGGAAUUCCUGGUGUAGCGGUGAAAUGCGUAGAUACUGGGAGGAACACCGGUGGCGAAGGCGGCUACCUGGACCGGUUCUGACGCUGAUGCGCGAAAGCGUGGGUAGCAAACAGG
rnacentral:rRNA from 1 species